rnacentral:rRNA from 1 species
UACGGGGGGAGCAAGCGUUGUUCGGAUUUACUGGGCGUAAAGGGCGCGUAGGCGGCCACCGCAAGUCAAUUGUGAAAUCUCCGGGCUUAACUCGGAAAGGUCAACUGAUACUGCGGGGCUAGAGUGCGGAAGGGGCAACUGGAAUUCUCGGUGUAGCGGUGAAAUGCGUAGAUAUCGAGAGGAACACCGGUGGCGAAGGCGGCCAACUGGACGAAUACUGACGCUGAGGUGCGAAAGCGUGGGGAGCAAACAGG